GACUCUCGGCAACGGAUAUCUCGGCUCUUGCAUCGAUGAAGAACGUAGCGAAAUGCGAUACUUGGUGUGAAUUGCAGAAUCCCGUGAACCAUCGAUGUCUUUGAACGCAAGUUGCGCCCGAAGCCAUUAGGCCGAGGGCACGCCUGCCUGGGUGUCGCA
rnacentral:rRNA from 1 species